GGGGGAAAGAUUUAUCGGGAAAGGAUGAGCCCGCGUUGGAUUAGCUAGUUGGUGGGGUAAAGGCCUACCAAGGCGACGAUCCAUAGCUGGUCUGAGAGGAUGAUCAGCCACAUUGGGACUGAGACACGGCCCAAACUCCUACGGGAGGCAGCAGUGGGGAAUAUUGGACAAUGGGCGCAAGCCUGAUCCAGCCAUGCCGCGUGAGUGAUGAAGGCCCUAGGGUUGUAAAGCUCUUUCACCGGUGAAGAUAAUGACGGUAACCGGAGAAGAAGCCCCGGCUAACUUCGUGCCAGCAGCCGCGGUAAUACGAAGGGGGCUAGCGUUGUUCGGAAUUACUGGGCGUAAAGCGCACGUAGGCGGAUUGUUAAGUGAGGGGUGAAAUCCCAGGGCUCAACCCUGGAACUGCCUUUCAUACUGGCAAUCUAGAGUCCAGAAGAGGUGAGUGGAAUUCCGAGUGUAGAGGUGAAAAUUCGUAGAUAUUCGGAGGAACACCAGUGGCGAAGGCGGCUCACUGGUCUGGUACUGACGCUGAGGUGCGAAAGCGUGAGGGAGCAAACAGGAUUAGAU
rnacentral:rRNA from 1 species